rnacentral:rRNA from 1 species
AACGAACGCUGGCGGCAUGCCUAACACAUGCAAGUCGAACGAGACCUUCGGGUCUUGUGGCGCAUGGGUGCGUAACGCGUGGGAACCUUCCCUUAGGUUCGGAAUAACUCCCCGCAAGGGGUGCUAAUACCGGAUAAUGGCUACGGCCCAAUGAUUUAUCGCCUUUGGAUGGGUCCGCGUUGGAUUAGCUAGUUGGUAGGGUAAAAGCCUACCAAGGCGACGUUCCAUAGCUGGUCUGAGAGGAUGAUCAGCCACACUGGGACUGAGACACGGCCCAGACUCCUACGGGAGGCAGCAGUGGGGAAUAUUGGACGAUGGGCGAGAGCCUGAGCCAGCAAUGCCGCGUGAGUGAUGAAGGCCUUAGGGUUGUAAAGCUCUUUUAACCGGGAUGAUAAUGACAGUACCGGGAGAAUAAGCGCCGGCUAACUCCGUG